UAGCACCGUGCAUAUUUCCGAACUAUGUUCUCACAUUUGAUUUGAGUAGCACCAUGCAUCUUUGCGUACUACUUUCUCAUAUCUAAGUUGCGUAGCACUGUGCGCCUUUUCGGUCUCCUCGAAUCUUAUUUGCGUAGUUCCGUGCGUCUUUCUAGUGACUCCUCAGGUCUGAUUUACAUAGUUUCACUUUUCUUUUAGUGUUGAGCGAAAACCAACACCCCUAAGAGGUCCAGUGUCUCCCUACGACCAAACGCCAACCAGCGCCGAUGUGAAUCGACCUCCCACGAGAACGUCACCUCCGGAGAGAUCCAACCACGCAUAGGCGCCUGAUACAGUUCCAACAAGUUUUUCGACGAUUUUCUUGUUCAAGAUCUAUUCGUCUCUUAAUUUCGAGACAACCCAUAUGUUUAUACCAGUUUCCGGCAAUAUUUUUUCAGCAACAGAUAGACGUUCCAGUGAUGUUUACUAUUUUUCCUAUCAACUUUUAAGUUUGUUCUCUUUCAACUAAGGUCUCCCGGACAUCCUGAACAGUCCUCACAAAUUUUCUUGAAGAUAUUUUCACCAAGUCCCCCACCGGUCCUCGUAUUGAUUACAUCUAUAUUAAGCUCGGUAUAUAUGACAUAUAUUCACCAGCUUGAGAGGGAGUGUAAGAAUAGUAGGAAUAGAAAUGGUAUAUGGAAUCCUACUUGAAAAAGGAUUGUAAUAUAGUGUUACUUGAAAAAGGAUUAGAAUGUAGUGUUUAUAAAUAGUCUCAGUGUAAUAACAUAGAUACACAAUUAAAUAAUAGUCUUCUCUAAUAUUUCUCAUAGAGUUAAUACAUAAAAUCCUCUAAACUAUCACUAUUUUGCAAGUUUCACAAAAACCAAAAUAAAAAAAAAGAACCAAAAUCGAAAAUAGAAAGGGAUUAGAUGUUGGUUUUUUCGUAAAGUUUGAA
rnacentral:lncRNA from 1 species